UACGAAGGGUGCAAGCGUUACUCGGAAUUACUGGGCGUAAAGGGUGCGUAGGUGGUUUUUUAAGUCCGUUGUGAAAUCCCUGGGCCCAACCUGGGAAUGGCAGUGGAUACUGGAAAGCUAGAGUGCGGUAGAGGGUAGUGGAAUUCCCGGUGUAGCAGUGAAAUGCGUAGAGAUCGGGAGGAACACCAGUGGCGAAGGCGGCUACCUGGACCAGCACUGACACUGAGGCACGAAAGCGUGGGGAGCAAACAGG
rnacentral:rRNA from 1 species